rnacentral:ncRNA from 1 species
AAUGCGGGCCGGGCCCCUCUGGCGACACGCGCAAGCGGUCGUGAUGUCCGGACCGCAUCG